CCCAGCCUCACCUCUCCUCUCGUAAGUUCCAAGCUCUGCAUUUCUAGCUCUGACCACAUGCAGCUGUGGAACUAGGCCCCUCUGCGUUCCUUUCACUUAAUCCCCUGAGCAGCCCUCGAGCAGGCCCCGUUGUGACCCCAUCUCAGAGACAGAGCCUGUGCCUGAGGAGGGAAGAGGCUGGCCGAGGCCUUGGCAGGAAAGCAUGGAGCUGGUGGGACCACACUGGGAUCCGGGACCCCACAGCCCCACAGGCUGGGAAGCUGGGUCUCUUGGCUCUGCAGCAAGCUGA
rnacentral:lncRNA from 1 species